rnacentral:tRNA from 1 species
GGAUAUAUAGCUCGUGGUAGAGCGCAUGCUUAGCAUGCAUGAGGUCCUGGGUUCAAACCCCAAUACCUCCU